CUGCUCCCCCUGCCAAGGACACAGCUCAGAAGGGCUCACUUGAAUCUUGGGCUUUGUGGAUCAAAUAGACAGAGAACUCAGAGACAUUGGGUCUAAUUUGCUGUGUGACCUUGAGCUAGGUACUAAGUCUCUCUGAGCCUCAGCAUCUUCAGUUAGACUCUGUGAUGUCACAAGUGUCAUCCUCCAACCCCCAGAGUACUCAAAGAGAAAAAUGGUCACCUUGUUCUGACUGAUGGCCAGAGCCUGACCCACCGUGAGCUAUAAAAGAAGAGAGCUAAGUCUUAUUUCUCGCCAUGGAGAAGUAAGCUGUACAGUGCAGGGUGGAGCUGAGGCCAGAAACACUGCUAACAACCUGGACGUCCCAAGACCAUCCACCACGUCCUGAGGAAGCGAGGCCAUGUCCAGGUGAAGUCAGCAUACAGAACGAGACAGCACAAAAGGAAAAAGGCAGUGAAGGCCCUCGGCACCACCUGUGCCGUGGACUCUGAGCUCUAGCCUGCUGUGGGGAGAGGUAGCACCCCACAGUGAUCGGAAAGGCCCUCUCCAUCCUCUGGAAAGCACACAGCCAGCUCUUCCAUGGAAACCUGCUUUCCUACAUGCUCAGUUCCUACUCUUUCCUGAAGAAAACAAGUAGGGGAAAGGUUUGGGGAGGGGCAGUCUGCAGGCUGAAGAAACAAAUACCAAGGGGAGCAGUUGGCUUCAGAAGCCCUGGGAAGGAAAGGGACUUUUGUUUGCCUCUUUUCCCCAGCGUCCCCGUUUAAAGGAAAGCCUCUGACUGACCAACAGUCCUUCUAAAAGAAUGACAAACAACGGGCAUUGGAGCUGUGCAUGGGCGUGUCUCCCAGUCUUGACGCAAAAUGAAAAAUGCAAUUCUAUUUAUUUCAUUGCUUUUUGAAUCUGACUAGGGAUUUGAUUUUGUUCUAGUAAAUUGCAGCUUGCAAGAGCCUCGGGUGCCAAUGCAAUUCCUGGAAACGAGGGAUAAGAUUGUGCACAGAAGACUCAAAAAUAACUCAGGCAGGGAAGAAACUCAUCAGGAUCCUGCUCUUUAAGGCUGGGGAGUCCAAGGCUGACAAUGGGAUCUUAAGCCUGCUAGCUGCAGGAGAGGGACAUUAUGGGCCUCUGGGUUCUAGUGACCUUGCUCUCAGAACUGCUCUGUGGACCUUUGAGGCAGAGUGUACAAAGGCAGGAAUCCUGGAAGCAGGCAUCAUCAGUGGCAUAUUAAACACAAGUGAGUAGAGCAGGUAUUUAUCAGUGUGCAGGUCAGGAUUUGUGCUCCCAGGAUUCCUGGCUAUCUCAGUGCACAACGAGGGCACACCUACAACCUCAUGCUGAGGAAACCACCCAUGCCACCCUUGCCACCCUCUUUAAAACCUCUCUCAGUCUUUUUGCUGGCCUGGUACUCCAGGAAAUUUUUUGGUAAGGAUUGAAAGAAUAUUCUAAGAUUCUACCGAAGGCAGUCAGAAGCAGGAAGUCCUCAUAGUGGUGGAGACUCAAGACCUGGGGAUCCUGGAAGCCUCAGCCAGGCCUUCAUGUUGCACCCUCCUUCUUCCUCUCUUGCAGCGGCCCUUCCCACAUAGGUGUAUCCACCCUCUUCCCCUUUCUCCCAAGUGCUACAUUCCUCUCUGCUGAAAGAAUCAAACCUCAGCCCCUAGGAGUCUUGGCUGAUAUCCUGAAAAUUUUGCAAACCGAGACCUUAAAGGCUGGUGGCAAGCAGGGUCUGCAGUCCACCCCAGUGCUUCUUCAAUUCAGGUGCCCCAGCUUUAGUCACACAGUUCUCAGUCCCCCAGGCAGCUCUGUCCAGCUGUGGUGCGGAGGAAGUUCAUUCAUCAAGCCCACGGAUGUUUCCUGAGUACCAGUCAUGCAUUGAGCAAGGAACCUUCUGUGCACGAGGGAAGAAAGGAGAGGGAGGGGACAUUCAGUGAACAUCUGCUCUCAUUAAGCAACUUGCCCAAGGUUCUGCAGCUGGUCUGACUCGCAGUCCACAGUGCCAUGAAUACAUCAAAUGUUCUACGGUCUUCUCCCUUCUUCCAGCCUUCCAGCCAGCGUGUUAUUGGUUGUCCCUCCUGGCUUCGUUAUCAGGAAGUCUGAUAAACACUGUGGUGUCUCCUGGAAGUCCCUACCCAAAAGCCUUCUGACAAAUGUUCUCCAGAGACUUCUGUAUUCAGCCACCAAAUAGCUAUGGGCACUAGUAUUCAGCCCACCAGAUCCCCCACUUCUCCAUUGGAUGCUCAGAAGUCACCCACAGUGUCAAGUGCUAUGCAGAGUCACAGGAAAGGAUCUUGAGGCAGGUGAGGAGCUGAGUUUGGGCCUGUGUUGCACAACUUAGCUGUGGUAACCUGGGUAAAUCUUAAUGUUCCCCUGACCCUCAUCUGUGUGAAAGGCCUGCUCUCCUCCCCGAUCUGGGAAAAAGGAUAAGGAGAUCAUAGUAAAGAAAGACGGGCUGGAGAGAAGGCUCAGCAGUUAUGAGAUCUUAUUGCUCUUGCAGAAGACGCAUGUCAGGUGGCUCACAACCACUUGUAACUCCAGCUCGAAGGGACCUAAUGCCCCCUUCUGGUCUUCUCUGGUACCUACACCCAUGUACCUACACACAAUUAAAGGAAAAUAAAGUCUUUACAAAGCAGCAAAGGAAACAGACUUAGAAAGUAGGAAGUAUCACCUGGCUGGGAGAUCAUUUCCCAAUGUCUUUGUGCUGGGAUGAGCUAGCUAAUGAUCCUCUCCCAGAUUCUCAGGUAUAUUUUAUUUCCAGAGAGUCCCCAUCAACUGCCUUAAUCAUCCUUCUCUUUUUUCCUGGUUCAUGACCCCACCGUUACUGUGGCUGGAAGUUAUCAUCCAACUGACUAGUUCAUCAUCUUUAAUCCGCAUUUCCCUGUAGAUUCUGUAUCAGUUACUUCUUGUGUCACAGUGAGAAAAUACGUGACAGAAACAGUUUAAGGGAGGAAGUGUUUAUUGUUGCUCACAGUUUGAGUCUCAGUCCACUGUGGUGGGGCAGGUCUGGUGGAAUUCAGGAUGAUGGAGCAUGUGGUAGAGGGUGUUCAAUAUUGGACUGUGUAGCACAGUGAUAAGAACCAGGGCCCAGCUGUCACCUUCAGAGGCCCACCUCUAGUAACCCACAUCUGCCAUCCAUUUCCCACCUUCUAAAGGCUCCACAGCCUCCUAAAACAGUAUUACCACCUGGGAAGCCACCAUUCUACAAUAUGAGCCUAUGGGAGAUGUUUUGGGUUGAAACCAUGAGAUUUCUGCUUAGCACAUGGCUCUUAGGGUGAGAAAAGACUCUCCUGAGGAGGUCACCCCAGCAUCAUGACAGGCCUCGGCAGUGCGCCUGUGCCACUGGCCAUGCAGAAUUCUUGGAAUUCUUGCCGCUGCGUGGGGAUGGAAACAGUUGCCUUGCCAUUCCCUGCUGAAGUUUUUGUCUGAUCAGCCAGGCACGGAAGCCUUCACAGCCAGCCUAUGGGAAAGAGCGGAAGCCUAAGCUGUCAAUGCUCAGGGAAGUCAGACUGCUCCAUCAGGAACGCCAGGCCAGGCCUGCCUGCUGCCUCUUCCAGGACAGAGGGUUCCUGGGCCCUGGGCUCAAGCCACAACUCCGUAUUCCAGGAGUUUGAACAAGUAGUCAGAUGUGGGUGUGAGUGUAGGUUUGGGCAGAAGGGAGCCCUCAAAGUCCCCACUGGGUCUCAGGCAGCCACGAAAUGGCUGGUCUGCAGGAUCAGCAGCCAAAUCCCAGGGUCUGCAAGAACCAGGUAUUUGCAAGAAAUUCCAAACCAUUCAAAGGGGAGGCAAGCCUGAAUCCAUGCUAGAAGGCUGCAUUCAUCAGCUGGGGCACCAAUACUCAGAAAUAUCUCCUUGUUGCACCACUGAGUCAUAGGCAUUUCAGAACUGAAAACCUCAGUUCAGUCUGUGUGCAGAUUUCCUCACUUCCUCUUUUAUGAACCAAAUUUACCCAGAGUCCUUCAGGCUACAGUCUUCUCCCAGGCAACAAGACACUAGAAGUAACUAGCCAUAGCUCUCAUCACUCCACACUCCAGCACAAGGCUCAGGUGUGUUGCCCAAGCAUGUUUUAGAGGGUAAAAUGACAGAAAUAAUCCAAAACAUGCCAGCUCAGCAGUGGAUGUCCUGGGGAUCACCAUUUUGGUGGUUCCCAUCUGCUCUGCCUUCCUUGUUACACCUUGCAUGCCCAAAUCCUCGCAAAAUUCAAACCAGCCUGCUUUAGGGUCAAAUGGCAAGGCACCCAUGAGCCCAGACUCUGGCUUCAGAAUGCCCAAGUUCACAACCCAAGUCCCACAUACUAGCUGCAUGAAAUUGGAAAACAGAAUGUCACUGAGGCUCCAUGACUUCAUCUACAAUGUGGGGAUCAUCACAAUCUCGGGGUCACUGAGGGUAUUAAAUUGAGUCAAUGAAUGCAGUAUGCUUAGACCACCGCCUGGCCCUUGGAGGGUUCACUAAGCCCUGAUUACUCUCAUUAUGCAAGUGCCCUUGUGCAGAAUUUGGUGUGAUAUGGUGUGGGGCGUUUACCCAUCAACCCCACAGUUCCCCAGAGUUUUCUUGAGUGCGAGCAGCAGGAAAUAUUAGAUAGAAGCAUUUAGAUUGUGGAGAUAAAUAGAUAGAAAAUAAAGGAUAGCCUCGAGAGGGCCUAGAACCUUUUCCAACAGGCCCUGACCGUCUUUGCCCCAGGGUAUUUAUAGAGACGCCAAGGGGUGGAGCAAAAGACCUCCUCCCCCAGCACAGCCAAGUGCAGACCAUUUCAGACACCUGCACUCAGGCCUGUGGCCCUAAUCAUCCUCUAUGCGGACCUGCUGGGUAAAGCCAUGAGGAACCUGAAAACAGGCUCUGACAAUAUGGUAGAGGCUCUCGUUUAUACUGUGCCAGGGUGAUUCUGUCCGACAAUAUGGUAGAGGCUCCUGUUUAUACUGUGCCAGGGUGAUUCUGUCUAGACCUCACUAUUGGGUCUGUUCUCACUCCCCAUGGUCUUCCACUUGCUGAUUUUGAGGGUUUGGGUCUGACGGGUAUGAGCCAUAUGGAGUCCAGAUGCAGAGUGUGCACUCAGUUGAGUAGAUGUUCCUGCUCCUGGGAGUCCCCAGCCUCUGGAGGAGUGGACUGUCUCCUUCCCUGAGUCUGUAUCACUGUUUGCUCUACAGUCAGGCUGUGUCAGUGUAGAGAGUGCCCAUGGAUUUAUGCUGAAAAAGGAAGAGGGAUCAUCGGAGAGUCCACUAGAGACAGUGAAAAAUAGCAGUGCAUCAGAUGUUUGGAGGAAAAGCAGGGGCAACUGCGUCCAAAUGCUCCUGGAGACUGGCAUGAGUCCCACCCAGGGGUACACAUUUGCCAUACCUCCUUUUGCCCAUUUUGUAGUCUUGGUGGGAAAUGGCCAUUUCUGGAGCCACCAAUUCUCAUUCUUAAAGUUCUGAGCACAGGACAUCCUGGAUCAUAACAGCCUUUUGAAGACUGACACCAGAUGUGGGUCAUCCAGGCUGAGACCCUGGGGAGGACCAAGACACAGAGGCACCACCCAGCCUUACUCAGAGUCAGGGAAGCCAGAGUGCCCGGACCCUCCAAAUUCAUGCAGAGAACAGAGACUACCCCCACCUCACUAUGAUUCAGCAUGCCUUUCCUCACCAGAAGUGCUCCUGGUGGUGGAGGAGACACAUGGGCACUGGAGACCAAAAGACCCAGGCUCUUAUUUUUUUUUAAUAAAAGGUAGGGAUGAGCAGUUUGUGAAAGUGUGAAGAUCCAAGUUCAGAUCCCAGCACCUAUGCAAAAGCCAACAACUGUUGAACCUCUCUGCAACUUCAGCACUCGGAUGGCAGAGCAAAGCUGAUGAGUGCGCUCAUUGGCUAGCCAGCCUAGGCCCAUUGAUGAGCUUCUGUCUAGAAAGAUGAAAUGAAGGAUGAUCAAUACUGAGUUUAUUAUGCUAAGUGAAAUAAACAAAAAGGCAAUA